GAUUAGAAGUAGGAUUUACAAUCUUUGCCUCAAAUCAUUUAAUGGGUUUAGCUACUGUGAGUUCCAGUAUGGUCGUUUAUUGAUCACAAAGGAAUUGCUUCUGCCAUUGGAAGUAUGACAUGAGUCCUGACUUCUACAGGGACAUUAUGGAGGCAUCAGAUGGUCGGGGGGAUCGGCAAUGGGAGGCUACCACGACAAGCAACUAGCAAAGAAAGAGGAGCUAUGGACUAGGCAUUACAUGCUGGACACCAUGGACUGAAAACAUGAGACAUGGAUUGACACGGGAAUGAUGUAUUACAAUUCCGUUUCCCAUAUAAUCUAAAAGGAUGAGUUGGGCUUCCUUUCAUGAGCAUCUUUUCUGUAAGGUUCAUGUAUAGAGAAAGAAGA